AUCCUGAGCCAAAUCCUGUUUUACGAGAAUAAAACAAAACAAACAAGGGUUCAGAAAGCGAGAAAAGGAUAGGUGCAGAGACUCGAUGGAAGCUGUUCUAACAAAUGGAGUUGACUGCCCCUUUUUUGGUAAAGAAAGGAAAAUGAAUCCUUCUAUCGAAUAUCGAAACUCCAUAAAGGAUGAAGGAUAAGUCUAUAUACACGAUGGAUACGAAAUGAAAAAUUAUCUAAAAAAUGAUAACCUGAAGCUGUAUUUAGAAGCUGUAUUUAUUUUAAUGAAAAAUAAAACAAAAGAAUUGUUGUGAAUCGAUUCCAAGUUGAAGAAUCGAAUAUUCAUUGAUCAAAUCAUUCACCCCAUAGUCUGGUAGAUCGUUUCUUUUGAAGAACUGAUUAAUCGGACGAGAAUAAAGAUAGAGUCCCAUUCUACAUGUCAAUAUAAAUACCGGCAACAAUGAAAUUGAUAGUAAGAGGAAAAUCCGUUGACUUUAGAAAUCGUGAGGGUUCAAGUCCCUCUAUCCCCAAAAAAAGGUCGAUUUGAUCCCCCAACUAUUUCUCCUACCCUCUCGUUUUUUUUUAGUGAUUCAAAAUUCGUUAUUUUUCUCAUUCAUCCUACUUUUUUACAAACGUAUCUGAGCAGGAUUUUUUUCUUUUAUCACAAUCACAAGUUGUGUGGUAUAUAUGAUAUACGUACAAAUGAACAUCCUUGAGCAAAGAAUCCCGAUUCACAAUCCAUAUCCUUGCUCAUACUGAAACUAAUAAAGUAUUCUUUUUGAAAAUUCAAGAAAAAAAAAUUCCCCGUUCAAGACUUUUAAUACUUUUUUCGUCUUUUUUAAUUGACAUAGACCCCAGUCAUCUAGUAAAAUGAGGAUGAUGCGUCGGUAAUGGUCGGGAUAGCUCAGUGGUAGAGCAGAGGACUGAAAAUCCUCGUGUCACC
rnacentral:precursor_RNA from 1 species